GGAUUUAAUUGCCGUGGCAGGGUUCAUAUUGAAAACUUGCCGGCACAGUCGAAUCAUAAAAAAUACAUAUGUGCCGACAAAUAAUGGCAUAAAAUAUUUUUUUCUUAGCAAUAAAUAUUCUAACAAUUUAUUAUAAAUCUUUAUCAAUCUUUUGAUUUUUUUUGAGAAAAUUACUUAUUGAUUUAAAGAAUAAAAAGUUUUAAGUUAUGUCAUCGGCACGGGGAUCGGCACGGGGAUCGUACCGUACCGAUAUUUUGUUGAUACGAUAUGACAUGAUGGAUACAGCGUGUGCCAAUAGACACUUAAAUUUAUAUCGUAUUAACAUUAAGCCGAAGAAAGAAAAUAAAAGUAGAAAGAUAAAAAUCGUUAAAUAUCUUUUCAACACUAAAAAUUUAUUCAAUAAAAAAAAAUUUUAAAAUUAAAAUACCAUUCAUUUACUCAAAUAAAAUAAAUUAAAAAAUUAGAUAGUAAAAU
rnacentral:lncRNA from 1 species